AAACUAUUAAAACUGGAGUACAAAAAUGAAAUUGUCCAGACUUUUCCUAAAUAUUUACCAUUCUAUGCCACUGACAAAUAAUUUUUAAUUUCAAUUAAAGUAAAUUAAUUAAUUAACUAAUUCAAUCUAUGCUUCUCCUUUGCAUAUGUCUCCUCCAUCAUCUUCACGGGGUUCUCUGCUUUGAUUCCAAUCCCUUCUUGAAUUCUUAAAGCUCCAAAAUCGUUUUUUUGUGUUUCUUUGAUUAUUGCUCAUCAAUAUAUUUUUAAUUGGCAUUCAAGAUUUUUCUGGGUUUCUUCAUUAUGUCUUGCUCAUUACUUCGAUUUCCCCAUUUAGGAGUAGAUAACUAGGGUUUCCGUGGCCAUUGCCCUCAAGAUAUCACGUUAAACAAGACCCGUUUGCAGCUAUUUGGAUUUGAAGCUUUCAAUAUCGCUCUUGAACUCGCAUCUACUGAUUUUGGGAUGGUUCUCUGAUAUUCAACAUGUGUGUAGCUUUUAUGCUUACUAUCCUCUAUCUCUCUAUGAAAGCCUGAUUCUUUGAUUCUACAGCUUGAGUGCGGUUGUUUUUCAAUGAGGUCUAAUGUUUAUCGAGCUGGAUUGGAGAGUCUCCAAGUAUUUUCAUGACUGGUGAGAUGGAGACGGAUCUAUUAUUAAUCUCAGCUACUGGCCUAGAGGAUAUAAUACCAAACAUUUGCAAAAAAAAUUCUAAAGAUUUGUAAGAGAGAAGACACCAAAUGUAAAAAACUGCUAUUUGCAUUAAUGGAGAAUAUCUGGGUACAUAUGUAUAUGGCACUGUAUUGAGGGAGGUAUAUACCUUCACCAUAUACUCGAAGUUCCCUAGAUUGUACAUGCUUCACUUGUAGCGUACGUUCUAUUAUUUGUCCAUUGUUUUGCUCAUGGA